CUGAGACAUGGAGGCCAAGAAAGAGGGAGUCUAGAAGACCAGAGGCCAAGAGGACCUAGGGGUCGAGUGCCCUUGAACCUUGAGGUCUGGACACCUACAGCCCAAGAAGCCUGAAAGCCUGGAAGCUGGACUAGAGGUCUUGAGACAGAGAGACCAAGAGAGCCGGAGGGAAGCCAAGGGGCAUUCAGGCACCAAGGAAGGUGCAGAGGUGUAUAGACUUAGAUGCCUAUGGGAAGGCUUAGAGACAAAGAGGUCCAGAGGAAGGCCAAGAUGGCUAGAGGACUAGAGGCCUCUCUCCUGGCCUGCAGGCCUCUAGUGGUCUCGUGCUCUCAUUGGUAUUCAUGGUCUCUCAGUCUCUUGAAAAGCUUCUCGUUCCAUAGGCCUCCUUUAGCCCCUUGGUUACUAGGUGUAGGACAUACACAUACAAUCAAGUUUGCAGCACAGAUUCCCUCCAGUGGGUUAUCCCUGUGUCAGUGGUUUAGGGGCUGGUUUGGCCCGGUCCCGUGAUUGGUGGGGUGGAGGGAUCUGCAGAUCCACACCUCCGGAAAGGGGAAACAGGGGACCCCAAAAUAAUUAAAAACAGCGGCAACAAUCUGAGGACAAACAGACUAAUUUACUAAAUACGGUAUUGGAAUGCAAGAUUACACACUAUAAUACAAUAUAAUUAGAAUUGAAGUUAAUAAAUCAAAUAUAAUGAGACAGUAUCUGAAAGCUGUAGGCCUUACAGUAGUGCUGCAGCGAUCGUUUGGUUGGGAUGAGCAGCAGGGAGGAGAGCUGAGGGGAAAAAAAAAAAGGACAUCAGGUGAUCUUGCCAGGGGUUAUAUCUCCUCUCUGAACGCAAAGUCUUCCAGGAUAUGUAGUUCUUCUCUCCCAGACCGGUGCCUGGAACUGGAGCAUUAACUCUUUAACUCCCAGUGCAUUACAUGAUGUUAUGAUGUGGAAUACUGAUAACCAAAAGUCAUAAAACCAUGACACCCUGAUAGUAUCUCAGCCUUCCCUUAGAUUCUGAAACUCAAGCUCUCAACCCUAUCAUCACCGUCAUUAAUUUCCAGAUAUUCACAUUUUUUCUUAACAUAGAGGGCCACACCACAGCCUUUCCUGCUUUGCCUAUCUUUUUUCAAAAGUUGGUAACCAUCCAUCAUAGCACUCUAGCUGUGUGAGUCAUCCCAGCACAUUUCCAUGAUGGCCACUACAUAAUAGCUUUCCGACAGCACAAUGGCCUCCAGCUCCUCCUGUUUGUUACCUAUGCUGCAUGCAUUAGUAAAUGUACCUCAGCUGGGCCACCUUUUGAGUGGCAGAAGCCCUAACACCUCUAGACCAUACUCAGCUGUUUCCAUAGUAACAAACCCCACACCAACUCUUGUGCAGAUUGCACGAAAAGGUGCAUGACCCUCCUCCCUCACCAAAACAUAAGACUGUGGGAUCUUACUAGCACAUUCCUUUCCCUCAAGAACAGGCAUGUUCCAUACAGGCUCAUUUCUAGUGACUCCAGUUUCACUCCCACACCUCUUCAUACCUAGUUCAAAGCUCUAUAAAAGAAUCCCCUUUGCCUUCCCCCGCACAGCGGGGUUGAGGAAAACUUUUGGUUUUGGGUCGGCCCAGAGCCAUUGUUGGGAUCUUGAGGGGACUCCUGAGGUCCCUACUGUCCCAAAUACCACCAGAGGCCUCAAUGUUGUCAUGACAAAGGCAGAGACAGGGCUGUGGGGACAGGCGCAGCCUGGCAGCAUCACUGGGGCCUGCGUUCUGCUGCAGGGCGAGGUGGGGGCACAGGAGAACCCCCUUAAAGCACACCCUGAAUCGCUCCAGGAGGAGACCUCACUGCAGCCUUCCGGCCCCUAACAGGGCGUACAGGAAAGCUGAGAAGGGACUGUUUAUCAGGGAACACAGUUAGAUGACAAGAGGUUACAGAUUUAAACUAAAAGAGGGGAGAUGUAGAUUAGAUAUGAGGAGGAAGUUCUUCACUGAGGGCAGUGAGGUGCUCCACUGCUGCCCGGAGCUGUGGGGUGCCCCAUCCCUGGAGGUGCUCCAGGCCAUGGAUGGGCCCCUGCGCAGCCCGAGCUGGGGGGGAAACCAGCACACAGCAGGAGUGGCGCUGGGACGUCCUUUCCAACCUGAGCCAUUCUGUGAUUUUAUGGCAUAGGGGACACUGAGCACAUGGGUACGGGGGAUACAGGGGACAAUGGGGACAUGGGCACACCUGGAGCAGGGGGGAGGCAUAGAUUAUGAGGGGGUCAGAGAAGGGGGAUCUGGGGUUUAUGGCAUGGAGGGGCUACAGGGAGGAACGGGGAGAGGAACUGGUUGGGUCACAGGGUGCAAGGGGGGCCUAUGGGGGUCAUGGGGACAUAAAAUAGGGGCCAUAUGGGGAGCUGUAUGGGAGUGCUGUGGGAAUGGAAUGUUGUUUCUACAUUAGAUAUUGAAAAGGACAAUCGAUCUGAAGAAGUAGAACACAACGUAUUUGUAUUUUGUAACUUGUCCUUAGAAAUAGUUGAUGUAAAAAGUAGAAAUACCACAUAUGUUAGUAGCAUAUUUUAGAAAUAUAGUUGCUGAAUUAUGUGAUUAAUUCUUUCUUGCAAAACUGCAAUAGCUUUUAAAUGUUCCAAAUAGUAUGGGUAUAGUAUUAUGGACUAGAAAGCAUACUGCAGGGCUGUUCUGUUUGGAUAAGAGACCCUCAGCAAAAGAAAAACAGACCUAACAAACAUCAAAGAAGCCAGGGCCUCUACACAAGGUUGGAUUGCCUCGCUCUGUGGAUAGGUUGGGAUGCAACAGGAAGACACCACGAUACUCCCCUCUAUCCUCCCUGCAAGCUUAUCUCUAGGCAAGGACGAGCAGAUGUCCAGAAACAGCGACCGAGUGUUGAAUGAGCAAGCAUGAGAAGUUAACUAAUUAGCGAUAUAUGCUGAGCUAGCAACAAGUUAUGUUUAUCCCGUAUCCGUAUGUGUAGUUGAGCAUCGGGAAGAUUGUGAACCUGAAGUACUCAGCCAAUGAGCACCCAGGGGAGGAAGAGGUAAGCGUCGAGUAAUAGGGCAUAGAAUAGAUAACACUGCUUUCUGUGUGCUCUCUGGCUGGCAGGAGGCCCACCACUGCAACUGCGAAAACAAUCUGCUUUGUCGGAGAUACCGUCCCGAUAAAUUAUUUGGAUAUUUCCAACAAUGUUACAUGGGAGAGUUCCCCCAUUGUAAGACCACGUAAUUCCGCCCUCCUUCUGCUUCUCAGUUCCGUCCCCACCAUCCUGCUCCCCCACUGGAGCCCCUUCCUCCAUUUUACCCCUCUAGUUCAGCCUCGCCUUUUACAUCUCCAUUUUUGCCUCUGCCCCCCUUUCUGCCUCUCAUUUUAGUCUUCCUCAACUCUUUCCCCCCACCUUUAUAUCCACUCACAUUACAGAAUUGUAGGGGUUGGAAAAGACCUCUCGAGAUCACCGAGUCCAAUUUCAAUCCCAUUUUAGGCUGCCCGCUGCCACGGCAACGCCGCCGGAAAGCAGCACCGUUAACGACAACGCCGCCGGAAAGCGACGCCGUCUCUAUGGCAACGCGGCCGGCAGCGCCC
ensembl:lncRNA